UAGAUUAAGUCAACUUAUUUUGCCAGCAUGCGGUGGAACAUUUGAGUUGCUGCACAUCUUUAUACACUAUGGAACAAAAAAUGUGCAGUGUGACUCUUUCUUGAUGUGUCCUUUCGGGUAAUCAAACAGAAGUGCAUUUUUAACUUUGCUGCUGACCACUUACAAAGCUCUUGUCCAUCACUACAACAGAUUAUUUUGCUUCAUGCCAGCUGCCACGUAAAACUGGAGGUAAACACGCUGCACAGGCUCUUAACCCCGCUAAGCUCCUUUUGCCAUGACGGGGUAUUUUUAGGACAUGCUGCCUCUCAGAAAGAAGCGAUUUUGUGAAAUCGGUGAAUCACUGAUGAACACAUAGGAUAGUGAGAAUUCAUCAUGUAGUCUGAUUGAUGAAAUAUUACUGAUUCUGCUUGUUGUUUUUACCCUUUAGCUACCUACAGUAUUGACUUUUAGGAUGUUUCACACAUUGAUCAUGUUAUGUAGCAGCCUGAAGUAGAAGAUGAAAGGAUAAGCACACAACUACUGUGCAGUCUAUUUCUUUGCUGGUCUAAAUUCUACCAACACACAUUUAGAGAGUACAAACGCUUCUGAAUGUUGUGCUCAUGAGCAGCGGCACAUGCUGGCAGGGCUAGAGAGUAUCUGGCCUGUUCACAUUUGCUCUUUUCAUACUACCAUCAAUGGUAGAGACCAUUUAACUAUACACACAAAGCACCAGCAAAAUACCACAGACCCCAAAACAAGAGAUAAAAAAAACAACAAAUAAUUAAAGGUAAAUAAAAGAAAGAAAGUGCUAAAAUAAAGCUGACAAAUAAUCAUUGACAACCAAAUUGCUGUUUCCAGCGAAUAUAAUGAGCAAACUUUGAAUGACUAUCUCAGACCACAAGACCAGCUUGUACAAUCAAAGAAUAACACAACGGAUCUGGAAGUCGCCAGACAACAAAAUAAAGAAAUAAAAGGAAUCAUCAAACCCCAAGGAUCUCCAGCCUUGCUACCCUUUCCUCAGUUUCUGACAUUCAUCCAAAGCCAUUUCCCAUGAGAGGAACCCAGGUGGGGGCCCAUCUGCUCAGCAGCCACCUCUGUGAUAGCCCAUCACUCUCCCCUUCUCAUUUCCCGCUCUUCAUCCCAUCCUCCUGACCCCUUUCCCUCCUUUCCUCUCCCCGUCUUGCCAUCCCCAUCUGAGCGUUCACAUGCCAUUACUGAGAUAUUACCGAGUCUGGGAUAUUGUUGUCGUUGGACUAUUCGCUGUCUCGUCCCCUACAAGCCAACCAGACACGAGACUUGAUAGCUUAAUCAGUUUUGACAGGACUAGUGGCUGCCAUCACAACCCCUGCUGUCUGGCUUUGCAGCUCAUCACCUCAACUUAAUAAACCCUGUCAGGUGUAAGAGGCCUGCUGACGUUCACCUUCCUUCAAAGACCCCGUUAUGACCACACUCCAUUCAUUACCCUGGAA
ensembl:lncRNA